rnacentral:tRNA from 1 species
GAGAGACCAGAAAUAGUAAGGACUGCUAAUCCAUACCCCCGUGGUUAA